AGAGACUUGCUUGAGGUCAGAGCCAGAGCGGAUUCAAAUCCAAGCCCAGAUACGAAACCGAGGCCACGUGUCUAACUCCUCCCCGAUUACAAACCCAGUGCCAACAAGGCUGGGCAACAAAACACACACACAAAAAAACGCCUCCAAGCACAUGUUUCCCUAAAGCCCCAGCAUCCUUGUGAAAGAGGGCAAAAGGAGCAUCUCAAGAAGUAAGUUCAAAGUGCACGAGGGAAGAUGCCCCUUGAGAGGAAUUCUGGGAACCAGUAAUGACCAGCAUCCUGGGCCCACGGCGGGCUAGAAAGAGGUGUGAAGAAGGCUCAGCUUCCUGUGCCCACCCCAAUGGCCAAGGAUCCCAAGUCCAAAUCAGGAAUGUGCUCUGCCCCAGUUAAGGCUAAUGAGAAAAAGGCUCCUUCUCACACCAUUUCUCAGGAAACUAGCAAAAGGAUGGCAACUAAACUCUGAAGAUGGCUCUGGCUCAGUCUAGUUGGAAAAAGAUGCAUUUCAACAUGAGUUGGAAGCAGCAACAAAGGGGAGGCUCCUAGAUGAGCCGGAGGCCUGUCAGGGACACACUUCUGAGACGGAGCCAGCAGAGACAGACAGGUAUUAAGAAGGCCAGGGGAGGGAGGGGAGAAGAGGCAGGUAGAGCCACGCCUGUGUCCAGUAUGGGAGAGACCAUUCCAUUGCUUUUAGAAAUCAGUUCAGUGCAGUGCUGUUCUAAAAGAAUAAAUCCAAAAAGGCUUCUUUUAGGAGAAAAUUAAUGACUUUAAGGAGAACAGGAGAAAUUAAGCACCAAGACAACGCUGCCUACUUCUGACUUUCACCAGACAUUCAUUAUUUUUCCGGAAAUGAAAGUUGACUUUCUCCCUCCCCCUCCCAAAUUUGAAGCAUCCCUCAAGAACAGACAGUGAGCACAAGAUGCCCAAACCAAACUCUUGGUCGCCAGCCGCACCCCCAGGCCUCCUCACCUGGGAAACAUUUUCUACACAGUAAGGUCUGGAUUUCUUAAAAAUCCUCUUUCAGAGGGAGGGCUACUGGUUUAAUGGAAAGAGAACCAUAAACCUGAUUUUAGUCUCAGCUCUGUGGCUGCCUCACUAGAUGACCUUGGCAUAUAUAUGUGUGUGUGUAUAUAUAUAUAUAUACACACACACCCAUUCCAGGGCUUCAGUCACACACACACAAACACUCACACAAAUACACACACACCCCCAUCCAUUUGCGGGCAAAAAGGGGAUAGACAAGAUGAUUUCUAGGUCUCUUCCAAGUGAAAUACUAAAGAAUUUCAAGAAGGCUGCUGGAAAAAACAAACAUGAGUGGACCUUUAAAAAUAUCAUUAAUACUACUUGAAGUUAUCUGUUCUGACUUAAGUGAAACCAGAGCAAGUUGCCUGCAGCCUGCAAUAACCAAGGUGUUUGACCCAUGACACACAGCAUGACUUUGAAGAAAAACUAAACCGCUCCUGCCUCUGAUGCUCCUACAAACCCAUGCUCCUGCCCAGCCUGGCUCUUGAGAUCCAAGUGGACUGCUGACCACUCUACUGUGUUGGGGAGCCCCCUACUUCUUCCCACCUUGCCUUGUCCAGAAUAAUAAUACAACCUCCCUCAGCUACAUGAAGGCAGAAGUUAAACCUCUGAGCCUCAGUUGUUUUUUUCUGUAAAAUGGUGAUUAUAAAAAUGGUAAAAUGUCU
rnacentral:lncRNA from 10 species